UGCCAGCCGCCGCGGUAAUACGAGUACCCCGAGCGUUAUCCGGAAUUAUUGGGCGUAAAGGGUCCGUAGGUGGUUAUAUUAGUCGGUUGUCAAAGACCCAAGCUCAACUUGGGGAAGGCAACCGAAACGGUAUAACUUGAGGGUGUGAGAGGCAAGUAGAACUCAUGGUGUAGGGGUGAAAUCCGUUGAUAUCAUGGGGAAUACCAAAAGCGAAGGCAGCUUGCUGGCACAUUUCUGACACUGAGGGACGAAACCCUGGGUAGCGAAUGGGAUUAGAUA
rnacentral:rRNA from 1 species